rnacentral:rRNA from 1 species
UACAGAGGGUGCAAGCGUUGUUCGGAAUCACUGGGCGUAAAGGGAGCGUAGGCGGGCUCUUAAGUUGGAUGUUUAAAACCGGGGCCCAACCCCGGCGUGGCAUCCAAAACUGGGAGUCUUGAAUGGAACAGAGGCUAGUGGAAUUGGAGGUGUAGCGGUGGAAUGCGUAGAGAUCUCCAAGAACACCCGUUGCGAAGGCGGCUAGCUGGGUUCACAUUGACGCUGAGGCUCGAAAGCGUGGGGAGCAAACAGG